rnacentral:pre_miRNA from 1 species
AUUAUACUCCCUCCGUCCGAAAAUACUUGUCAUCAAAAUGGACAAAAAGGGAUGUAUCUAAAACUAAAAUACAUCUAGAUACAUGCCUUUUAUCCAUUUUGAUGACAAGUAUUUCCGGACGGAGGGAGUAUAUA